AAUGAGUGACCCACACUGCAACAUCGUUUUCCCAAUAAUGUUAAUUUGUGUUAUAAAUAUGACUUCUUAGAGAGUGAUAUACACACACUUCCAUGGCGAUCCUGGGUGCCUCCAAAUUCAUCUCAUUUUUAGCAUUACUUUUACUACUCAUCAACUCUGCUAUGGGAGCUGCUGCUGCCCAACCUACCCUUAAACAUGGACGUAAACUUCUCCAAACUUAUGAUCCUGGAAAUUGGAAUUGGAGGAAACCACAGUAUUAUCGUGAUCGUGGUCAAGGAUAUAGGAAAGCAAGAUAUCAUCAUGGUCGUGGAAAAUAUACCCAAAAACCAUGAAAUCAAGUUAUUAAAUGUGUCAGUGCCAGAAUAUUAUUAGUAUAUAAGUCAUGUACUCAAUUUCUAUUAAUGGUGUGUAUACUAUACUACUGCAGUCAGCCACACCUGGUGAGUGGCUAGACCUGUAUUUUAACCUAGAGAAUUAAAUAAUUCAGUAUUUUUUUAUGGUAUAGAAAUAGCAUGUUUCCAAUAAUAUUUUAUGCGGCUUCCUCAA